rnacentral:rRNA from 1 species
CGGAGGGUGCAAGCGUUGUCCGGAUUUAUUGGGUUUAAAGGGUGCGUAGGUGGCUUAUUAAGUCAGUGUUUAAAGUCUGCAGCUUAACUGUAGGAAUGGCAUUGAUACUGAUAGGCUUGAGUAAAGUUGAGGUAGGCGGAAUUGAAGGUGUAGCGGUGAAAUGCAUAGAUAUCUUCAAGAACACCGAUUGCGAAGGCAGCUUACUAAGCUUUAACUGACACUGAGGCACGAAAGCGUGGGGAUCAAACAGGAUU